UUAACACCAUCAGUUGGCUUUCUUGUUUUUUGGUUUGAAUGAAAAUCUCAGUGUUGUGUAGUUUCGGAAACUUUUCAGCCAUUUGUGACUCCUCCUUUACCCCCCUGUUCCCUGACUCCCACUUCUCUUUUUUUUUUGGCUGCAAUUUUUGUUUGGCUAUCAUUUUGAUAGACUCAGUGGGUGGUUUUGGUGGGCUAUGUCCCUAUACCGCCUUUAAGAAACCAAAGGCCUACUUAUUUGGUACCCUUUAGUAACAAGUGCAGUGUUUUUUUAGUUCUCCAACUCGCGACCCCUGUCAUUCAGAUUUUGCGUUCUGGGGGGGACGUAACAGCUACACUGUAAAUGGCAUUGGCCAAAAUAUUAAGUCUAAAGUCUAAGUCUAAGUUGUCGAGUUAAUCUGUGUUUGUUGUUCUGUGUAGCAAAUCUUUAAUUGUGGCUUAAUAGCUCUUGGACUCAAGGAUAACUUGAUUCUAAUUCUGGGGUCAAAGGUCACUGUAACCUCACAAAACACAUUGAAAAAUGGAGGGUUUGUUGCAAACUUGCCUCCAUUCCUUAAACGUUUCUGGUCAUGGAGCUGGUCAGAAAAAUGCUGAGGCUUUUUAGUUCGGCUAGAAUCUGCUUUAGCGUCAGAGUUAAAUCAGAGUAGGUUAAACUGUUAGCUACAACGUGUUGUUGCUCUGAUUGAUUCUAGCAUAUAAAGGCAUCUUGGUCUGUACUUUCUGUAAAUUGGAAGUGAAAUGAAAACAAAGCUCUGGAGACACGUACAUCACCGUCAUUUAAGAUAUGCCUGUAGAGAAAUAAAGCAUUUGACAGACAAUGGCAGCAUCAUUAUGCACACUUUGGCUAAGUUAAGAACACGAGAUGGUUUGAGACUCAGCAUGACGACGGGGAGCCGAGGACAGCUGAUGAGGGAAGAGGAAGAAAGAUAUCAUAUCAACACCAAGAGUGUC